UGUUAAGAUGUUUCUCGAAGUUUUAAAGCGCUAAAACCAACUAACAACACGUUUACAUCGAGUAUGACCCAAUCUGUAUCUCAAAACAUUUUCCAACUCGUCCACUUUUAAAUUACACAGGCUCUGCUCACACAUUAGAAUAAGAAUCAGAAUACAUUGAUUUAAGUGUCUUACCCGCAAGAGGGUCCAGCUCAGGCGGGUCCAGAGCAAACAGGUCCGGCGCAGGCAGGUCUCCAAACAGCAGGUCCCUCGGAGAGGCGGGCGGUCCGGAAGGAGGCAUCUUUCCCGCAGUUUCUUCAUGGAGAACCAGUACCCAGAUGAAGCCAAGCGAGAGGAGAUUGCCAACGCCUGUAACUCUGUCAUUCAAAACCCAGGUUGUAAGCUAUCUGAGUUUGAGAAUGUGACGGCAUUGAAGGUGUACAACUGGUUCGCCAACCGUCGGAAGGAGAUGAAAAGAAGAGCUAAUAUCGAAGCUGCCAUUUUGGAAAGCCAUGGAAUUGAGGUGCCAAGUCCAAGCUGCCACUCCAACGGCGAGGAAGGAGAGAUGCAAGAGUUCGCUGAUCAGGUGAAUCAUCGAUUCACGGAGCAAGAAGAGACCUCUUCCCUCAGGAUUGUUGAACAACAAGACCCCUCCUCAUUGGCUACCACAGAGGUCGCAGCCCUGCCCAGCCCCACCCCUCAGGUCCUGGAUCAGAAAGAGGAGGAUUCAAAAAGGGAAACUGUGGACGAAGAGUGACCAAAGCUGGUGGAGUUUGGAAUCAUCGUGUUUUGAAUUUUAAUCCGAUGAAAUAGGAAAAGAAUAAGUGAUCUCCUCCUCCACCCAUCUACACGCCUUGUUUUAGCCUUUUUAAAGAGCGACUGUUUGAUGGACUGCGGUGACAUGAACGUGCUGAGCCUGCAGGUCAGGUGUGUUCGGGUGUAGGGAUAAAGUACGGCAUCAUGGAUCUAGUUUGUGGUGAUUAGAAAAAAGCCCUCUGCUCGCUUUGAAUGUCUCUCGACUCCAUCUGGUUCGUAAGACUCUAACCUCAAUCAGUCGAUCAGUUGAUGAGUGCUCUUGCUAUCAGAUCCGUAAAAGCCCUGAGGGACAACUGGAAUCUCAGGUAAUCCCAAAAAAA